rnacentral:rRNA from 1 species
UACGGAGGAUGCGAGCGUUAUCCGGAUUUAUUGGGUUUAAGGGGUGCGUAGGCGGGCUUUUAAGUCAGCGGUAAAAAUUCGGGGCUCAACCCCGUCCGGCCGUUGAAACUGGGGGUCUUGAGUGGGCGAGAAGAAGGCGGAAUGCGUGGUGUAGCGGUGAAAUGCAUAGAUAUCACGCAGAACCCCGAUUGCGAAGGCAGCCUUCCGGCGCCCUACUGACGCUGAGGCACGAAAGUGCGGGGAUCGAACAGG